rfam:Mucispirillum schaedleri ASF457 genomic scaffold acYAd-supercont1.2, whole genome shotgun sequence.
GGGCCUAUAGCUCAGGUGGUUAGAGCGCACGCCUGAUAAGCGUGAGGUCGAUAGUUCAAGUCUAUCUAGGCCCA